CUACGUGCUCCAGUGAACUAUUCUCCAGAACCCUUCCCAUCUAAUGAUUCAAAGCCUUCUCCUUACUGUGGUCUCGCCCACUCUGCUUGUAGCCUUGCUGUGACUGGUGGAGGAACAUGCAGCUGAAGAGUCAUAUACAAAUAUGAGGCUCACUCAUCACUUCUUCAAUCGAGAUGUGAACUUCUAUCAGAUUUAACGUUUGGAAGAGUCACACCACAAUGAAUGGAUGAGAGAGACGAGCGAGAGAGAGAAUCAACACAAUCACUUCAGCGGCUGCAGUACACACGGAUCCAGAGGAUUGAGAGGAGGAGAGGGACACAGGGUGGUUUCCUUCCCCACUCCGAGGCCACGAUGCUGGGCUUAUCCCGUCGCCGGCUCCUGCCUGCUCCAGAGCUCAGCUGGAGAAGACGAUGCUAGGCAGCUAAAUCUGGAUUAACAGACCUGGGCAGACGAUUUUCAAUGCUCCUCCAAAUUCUAAGAUGAAGUUAUGGAAAGGCGCCAGUUUUGUCUUCAUGCUGUGUGCUACGUUACUGUUCCUCCUCCUCACUAGAAACACCCUGGUUACUACUGGACCUGCAAGACUUCAACCUAGGAUAGCGUUGUCGUCAUCAUCUUCAUCAUCAUCAUCAUCAUCAUUAUCGUCAAAACCACUGUCACUAUCAGUGACAGAGCCAAUACCACCACCACCACCACCAUUAUCUUCAGGAGCAUUAUCAUCACCAUCAUCAUCAUCAUCACCAGUAUUAUCAUCAUCAUCAUCACCAGUAUUAUCAUCAUCAUCAUCGUCUUCCUCCUCAUCCAGGAUGAAGGCUGGGCUCCACAGAACAGUGCGGGCUGUA